UACGAGGGGGGCGAGCGUUGUUCGGAAUUAUUGGGCGUAAAGGGUGCGUAGGCGGUUUGGUAAGUCUUAUGUGAAAUCUACAGGCUCAACUUGUAGUCUGCAUGAGAAACUGCCGGGCUUGAGUAUGGGAGAGGUGAGUGGAAUUCCUGGUGUAGCGGUGAAAUGCGUAGAUAUCAGGAGGAACACCUGUGGCGAAAGCGGCUCACUGGACCACAACUGACGCUGAGGCGCGAAAGCUAGGGGAGCAAACAGG
rnacentral:rRNA from 1 species